GUUUCCUGCAUGGGGUGGCUGAGGGGUUUCUCGAGGGCGGCCAUGUUGUUGGGCAUGUCCGGGGGGUGGGAGAGCUGGGGGGGCCCGUGCAUGAAGUCAUUCAUGGAUGUCCCUCCAGGGUUCCCGUGGGGGAAGUCAAAGUUGCCAUGGCCUUGGUAGUUGUUGCCUUGGCUGCUGUAGUCGUUGGAGUUGGUGCCCCCUGGGGGAGGCGGGAGGGGAUAGGGGGACGGGCCGGGGCCCAGGGCUGCGAUCAUCUCCAUGACAUUGGGCAUGAUCAUCUGGCUGGGACUCAUGGUCUUGAACCGCUUGGAGGGGAUGCCAUCAGGGUCGUCC
rnacentral:lncRNA from 1 species